UACGGGGGGGGGCAAGCGUUGUUCGGAAUUACUGGGCGUAAAGGGCUCGUAGGCGGCCAACUAAGUCGGAUGUGAAAUCCCCAGGCUUAACCUGGGAACUGCAUCCGAUACUGGAUGGCUUGAAUCCGGGAGAGGGAUGCGGAAUUCCAGGUGUAGCGGUGAAAUGCGUAGAUAUCUGGAGGAACACCAAUGGCGAAGGCAGCUCGCUGGGACGUGACUGACGCUGAGACGCGAAAGCGUGGGGAGCAAACAGG
rnacentral:rRNA from 1 species